CGCUAUCACUCCUACGGGAGGCAGCAGUGGGGAAUAUUGCACAAUGGGCGCAAGCCUGAUGCAGCCAUGCCGCGUGUGUGAAGAAGGCCUUCGGGUUGUAAAGCACUUUCAGUCGUGAGGAAGGUAGUGUAGUUAAUAGCUGCAUUAUUUGACGUUACCUACAGAAGAAGCACCGGCUAACUCCGUGCCAGCAGCCGCGGUAAUACGGAGGGUGCGAGCGUUAAUCGGAAUUACUGGGCGUAAAGCGCAUGCAGGCGGCCUGUUAAGUCAGAUGUGAAAGCCCGGGGCUUAACCUCGGAAUUGCAUUUGAAACUGGCAGGCUAGAGUCUUGUAGAGGGGGUAGAAUUUCAGGUGUAGCGGUGAAAAUGCGUAGAGAUCUGAAGGAAUACCAGUGGCGAAGGUGGCCCCCUGGACAAAGACUGACGCUCAGAUGCGAAAGCGUGGGGAGCAAACAGGAUUAGAUACCCUGGUAG
rnacentral:rRNA from 1 species